CGCGGCCUAUCAGCUUGUUGGUGGGGUGAUGGCCUACCAAGGCUACGACGGGUAGCUGGUCUGAGAGGAUGGCCAGCCACAUUGGGACUGAGAAACGGCCCAGACUCCUACGGGAGGCAGCAGUGGGGAAUCUUGCGCAAUGGCCGAAAGGCUGACGCAGCGACGCCGCGUGUGGGAGGACGCCCUUCGGGGUGUAAACCACUGUUGCCCGGGACGAACAUCCUUUUUCGAAAGGACUGACGGUACCGGGUGAGGAAGCACCGGCUAACUCCGUGCCAGCAGCCGCGGUAAUACGGAGGGUGCGAGCGUUGUCCGGAAUCACUGGGCGUAAAGGGCGCGUAGGUGGCCCGUGGAAGUCUGCGGUGAAAGCCCGGCGCUCAACGCCGGGUCGGCCGUGGAUACUCUCGGGCUUGAGCUCACUAGAGGCAGAUGGAAUUCCGGGUGUAGCGGUGGAAUGCGUAGAGAUCCGGCAGAAGACCGGUGGCGAAGGCGGCCAGCUGGGCAGUGACUGACACUGAGGCGCGACAGCGUGGGGAGCAAACAGGAUUAGAUACCCUGGUAGUCCACGCCGUAAACGAUGGGUACUAGGUGCUUGGGGGAGCGACCCCCUGAGUGCCGGCGCUAACGCAGGAAGUACCCCGCCUGGGGAGUACGG
rnacentral:rRNA from 1 species